CAGUAGCCACGGUAAUACGUAGGUGGCAAGCGUUGUCCGGAAUUAUUGGGCGUAAAGGGCUCGCAGGCGGUUUCUUAAGUCUGAUGUGAAAGCCCCCGGCUCAACCGGGGAGGGUCAUUGGAAACUGGGAAACUUGAGUGCAGAAGAGGAGAGCGGAAUUCCACGUGUAGCGGUGAAAUGCGUAGAGAUGUGGAGGAACACCAGUGGCGAAGGCGACUCUCUGGUCUGUAACUGACGCUGAGGAGCGAAAGCGUGGGGAGCGAACAGGAUUAGAGACCCCCGUAGUCCCUGUCUCUUAUAC
rnacentral:rRNA from 1 species